AUUGAACGCUGGCGGCAUGCCUAACACAUGCAAGUCGAACGGAGAUAGGGGCAACCUUAUUUCAGUGGCGGACGGGUGAGGAAUGCGUCGGAAUCUGCCCUAUGGUGGGGGAUAACACAGGGAAACUUGUGCUAAUACCGCAUAAUGUCGAGAGACCAAAGCAGGGGACCGCAAGGCCUUGCGCGAUAGGAUGAGCCGACGCCCGAUUAGCUUGUUGGUAGGGUAAUGGCCUACCAAGGCGACGAUCGGUAGCUGGUCUGAGAGGAUGAUCAGCCACACUGGGACUGAGACACGGCCCAGACUCCUACGGGAGGCAGCAGUGGGGAAUAUUGGACAAUGGGCGCAAGCCUGAUCCAGCAAUGCCGCGUGCAGGAAGAAGGCC
rnacentral:rRNA from 1 species